rnacentral:rRNA from 1 species
AUGCAAGUCGAGCGGUAACAUUUCUAGCUUGCUAGAAGAUGACGAGCGGCGGACGGGUGAGUAACGCGUAGGAAUCUGCCUAGUAGUGGGGGACAACAUGUGGAAACGCAUGCUAAUACCGCAUACGCCCUACGGGGGAAAGGAGGGGAUCUUCGGACCUUUCGCUAUUAGAUGAGCCUGCGUGAGAUUAGCUAGUUGGUGGGGUAAAGGCCUACCAAGGCGACGAUCUCUAGCUGGUCUGAGAGGAUGAUCAGCCACACUGGGACUGAGACACGGCCCAGACUCCUACGGGAGGCAGCAGUGGGGAAUAUUGGACAAUGGGCGCAAGCCUGAUCCAGCCAUGCCGCGUGUGUGAAGAAGGCCUUAGGGUUGUAAAGCACUCUCAGGAGUGAGGAAGGGCGUAUAGUUAAUACCUGUAUGUUUUGACGUUAACUCCAGAAGAAGCACCGGCUAACUCUGUGCCAGCAGCCGCGGUAAUACAGAGGGUGCGAGCGUUAAUCGGAAUUACUGGGCGUAAAGCGCGCGUANGCGGUUUG